UUUUUUACACUUUCUCUCUUCAACCUCCAUAUACAUAUCCAUAUACACAUCACACCUCCAUAAUUUAUGUCUAAAAUCAAGCAACCAUAAUUAAGAGAUUACAAGGUUUGAAUUUACAAACCUUAUCUUAUCAAAUUGUUGAACAUCAUCAUCUUCAAAUUAUUAUUGAGGUUAGUUUAAUUUUUUAAUUUUUUUUUAUUUUACUAAAUCAAAAAUCUACGAGUUAUUUGUUGCAUGUGUGUAAUUUCCAAACCUUAAGCAUAGAAAUGGAGUCUAGUUCGAGUUUUAGAGAAAAAAGAUCAAAACACUGAAAUGAUGCCGCCAAGAUGAAGAAGCUGAGGGAAGUUACCCGUACAAGCUCUAAAAAGUCCGUUGCUAAACCUUCAAGUAAGAUAAAAAGUGAAGAAUCAUCACGACCGCAUAUUUCAAAGGU
rnacentral:lncRNA from 1 species